GACGAAGGAUGCAAGCGUUAUCCGGAUUCAUUGGGUUUAAAGGGAGCGUAGGUGGCCAAAUAAGUCAGUGGUGAAAUCUCUCAGCUUAACUGAGGAAUUGCCAUUGAUACUGUAUGGCUUGAGUAUAGUUGCCGUUGGCGGAAUAUGACAUGUAGUGGUGAAAUACAUAGAGAUGUCAUAGAACACCGAUUGCGAAGGCAGCUGACGAAACUAUAACUGACACUGAGGCUCGAAAGUGCGGGGAUCAAACGGG
rnacentral:rRNA from 1 species